UUAUGACCAGGGGAAGAUGCAUCUGAUUCCCAAAGUGCUCCAGUUUAGAUACGUAAAUGCUGUCAUGGACUUAAGCCUUAAAGGAGUGAAUACUAAUUUUGAGCGUAUACAAAUUUUCUUCUCUGAUUUCUCUUCUCUUUCAAAAAAAUGAUUUGUUAAAAGCACUUUCUUCCUUCUAGACUUUUUGAAUGGCUUUAAAAUUUAAUAUACUUUUUAAAAAGUGCAAUGGAUUAGAUUAUGCUAUUAGUAUAAAAGCAUGUUUCUGUUUCUUAGUUUUAAGGUCAUUUAAUGGAAUAAAGAUC
rnacentral:lncRNA from 1 species